rnacentral:rRNA from 1 species
GAUGAACGCUGGCGGCGUGCCUAAUACAUGCAAGUCGAGCGAACAGACGAGGAGCUUGCUCCUCUGACGUUAGCGGCGGACGGGUGAGUAACACGUGGAUAACCUACCUAUAAGACUGGGAUAACUUCGGGAAACCGGAGCUAAUACCGGAUAAUAUAUUGAACCGCAUGGUUCAAUAGUGAAAGACGGUUUUGCUGUCGCUUAUAGAUGGAUCCGCGCCGCAUUAGCUAGUUGGUAAGGUAACGGCUUACCACGGCAACGAUGCGUAGCCGACCUGAGAGGGUGAUCGGCCACACGGGAACUGAGACGCGGUCCAGACUCCUACGGGAGGCAGCAGUAGGGAAUCUUCCGCAAUGGGCGAAAGCCUGACGGAGCAACGCCGCGUGAGUGAUGAAGGUCUUCGGAUCGUAAAACUCUGUUAUUAGGGAAGAACAAAUGUGUAAGUAACUAUGCACGUCUUGACGGUACCUAAUCAGAAAGCCACGGCUAACUACGUG